rnacentral:rRNA from 1 species
AACCAACAGGGAUUACCUCAGUAACGGCGAGUGAAGCGGUAACAGCUCAAAUUUGAAAUCUGGCUCUUUUAGGGUCCGAGUUGUAAUUUGUAGACGAUGCUUUGGGUGUGGUGCCGGUCUAAGUUCCUUGGAACAGGACGUCAUAGAGGGUGAGAAUCCCGUAUGUGAUCGGUCGCCUUCGCCCGUGUAAAGCUCGUUCGACGAGUCGAGUUGUUUGGGAAUGCAGCUCAAAAUGGGUGGUAAAUUUCAUCUAAAGCUAAAUAUUGGCCAGAGACCGAUAGCGCACAAGUAGAGUGAUCGAAAGAUGAAAAGCACUUUGGAAAGAGAGUUAAACAGUACGUGAAAUUGUUGAAAGGGAAGCGCUUGCAACCAGACUUGGGCUGUCGCAAUCAUCCGGGGCUCGCCCCGGUGCACUUGUGGCGGCACAGGCCAGCAUCAGUUUCGGUGGUGGGAUAAAGGCCUUGGGAAUGUAGCUUCUUUCGGGGAGUGUUAUAGCCCUCGGUGCAAUGCCGCCUACCGGGACUGAGGACCGCGCUUCGGCGAGGAUGCUGGCGUAAUGGUUGUAAGCGACCCGUCUUGAAACACGGACCAAGGAGUCUAACAUCUAUGCGAGUGUUUGGGUGUCAAACCCAUACGCGUAAUGAAAGUGAACGGAGGUGAGAACCCAUUAGGGUGCAUCAUCGACCGAUCCUGAUGUCUUCGGAUGGAUUUGAGUAAGAGCAUAGCUGUUGGGACCCGAAAGAUGGUGAACUAUGCCUAAAUAGGGUGAAGCCAGAGGAAACUCUGGUGGAGGCUCGCAGCGGUUCUGACGUGCAAAUCGAUCGUCAAAUUUGGGUAUAGGGGCGAAAGACUAAUCGA